rnacentral:misc_RNA from 1 species
CAGAGUUCAUGCCCUUCCGGGUAGAUCUCCCACCCUUGAAUAUAUUACCUUUGUUGCUUUGGCGGGCCGCUUUGCCCACUGGCUUCGGCUAGUGAGUGCCCGCCAGAGGACCCAAAAUUCUGAUUUAUAGUGUUGUCUGAGUACUAUAUAAUAGUUA